rnacentral:piRNA from 1 species
UUGAUUUCAUCAACAGAAAUCCUCUGCUAGA